AAAUCAGAAAUUUCUUGGUUAGGCCACGUGCUCCAGACUUUCAUUUGCGUUGAAAACUUUGUGAAAAGAUGGCACGUUGACUUGAAAAAAUUCGUCGACUGCAAAAACAAGAUGGCGACAUGAAAGACAAGCUUCCAUUUUAUUGGACGUGAAAAGGGACAAACAGUUGCGGUCAUGAUUUGAUGACCUAAAUGAGGUUAUAUUGAAGACGAAUUAUCUCACAUGGUGCAAGGUAAAUAUCCAAACUUUUUAGAUCCACGUGUUUUAUAUUGAUAUAUGUACAUAUAUAUGAAAUGAUGAUUAUUUCAAUUACCUUUUGCGGUUUCCACCAGAAAGCAUUUGCUUAAAGAUGGCCUUAGGCGUCUGAUUCAAUCCGUUUAUAUUAAUAUUGUAUUUAUGUAGACCAUACUUCUA